GUGAGUCCUCUUACCUGGACUUCAGCAGAGCAGACACUCGAGCGUGGUACUCCAGAUGUUUCGGCCUGGAUAAAUACAAGGGAUCGACGUCCUCGUUGUUUGUGUGGAACGAUAUGAACGAACCGUCUGUAUUUGACGGGCCGGAGCAGACGAUGCCGAAAGACGCAGUGCAUUAUGGGGGCUGGGAACACCGGGAACUGCACAACCUGUACGGCUUCUACCAGCACAUGGCCACAGCAGACGGUCUGAUAACUCGCUCCGGAGGUUCAGAGCGACCCUUCAUUCUGACUCGCUCCUUCUUCGCUGGCUCACAGAGAUUUGGAGCAGUUUGGACCGGGGACAACGUGGCGAGCUGGGAGUAUCUGAAGGUCUCCGUCCCCAUGCUGCUGUCGCUCAGCGUGGCCGGCAUCGCUUUCUGUGGAGCUGAUGUCGGUGGUUUUGUUCAGGAUCCGGACCCAGAGCUGUUGGUCCGAUGGUACCAGGCGGCGGCGCUGCAGCCCUUCUUCAGAGGUCACUCUGCCAAGGAGACGAAGAGACGAGAGCCUUGGCUGUUCGGACAGGAGGUCACCGAUAGGAUCCGCACCGCCAUCACACAGAGGUACUGUUUGCUGCCGUACUGGUACACUCUGUUUCACCAGGCUCACACCUGUGGCCUGCCCCCCCUCAGGCCUCUGUGGGUGGAGUUCCCGGCAGAGCAGAGCGCCUUCUCCGUGGACCACCAGUUCAUGAUCGGAGGAGCUCUGCUGGCCUGUCCUGUAACUGAAGCUCAAGUUAAGGAAGUCAAAGUCUUACUUCCUGGAUCUAACGAGGUUUGGUACGACGUCCACUCUGCAGAGGAGUUUAAAGGAGGAAGGACUCUGGCUCUUCCUGUCACUCUGGACACAGUCCCUGUGUUCCAGCGUGGAGGCUCGGUGCUCUGCAGGGCCGCAGGACGUGUUUCCUGCACCGCUGACCUCCAGCUGCUGCCCCUCUCCAUCACUGUGGCCCCUAACCCUCAGGGUCUCGCUGACGGAGAGCUCUAUCUGGACGACGGGCACUCCUUCAGAUUCAGAGACAGGAAGUCCUUCAGCCGGCGGCGCUUCAGCUUCCUGUCCGACCGUCUGAUCUGCCGUAUUUAUUGUGUUUUCUUGCAGUGCUGCAGGUGAGGGGGAAACAUUUGAGUGUGACACCGUCGUUCAGACGCUCACCGUCCUGGGACUGAAGAGAAAACCGUCCUCUGUGAUCGUACAUGUGAACGGUGCUGAAGAUGUCUCGGCUGCGUUUGAGUUCCUGGAGAGCUGCUCCACGCUGACGGUGAAAGACCUGGAGCUCAGAGUGCUGACGGACUGGGAAAUACAGAUGUGUUAAAAAACUGUCAAAAUAUAUCAGCUUCUGAUUCCAGGUAAACAAUGUCCGAGUCAUUUUACAAAACGUGAUAAUAUAGACUUAGGUGUUUAAUUCAGUACGAUGGUUGCCUUAUUGCUUUUAUGGUCUUCUUUUUAGGUCUUUAUUUGUUUAUUGUAUUGUUUUAUGUUUGAAUUUGGGAAUUAACUCUCACAUAAAUUAUUAAAAUUCAAGUUAUAAA